rnacentral:lncRNA from 10 species
AAGCCGGCGCAGGCCUUCGCAAGAUGGCGGCUGGAGGCAAGGGCAGAGGCCUUCAGAGCGUUUUCUUUUUCCCUUUCCUCCCUUCCUGCAAACAAUGUGGCUACAGUUUAACUGGAAGUGACAAACUGAGGAAACUGAGGCACUGGAAGAUGAAGGCUACAGAGGUAGAAAGUGAUGGAGGAGAUACAUCCAGAAGACUGCAUUACAAUUUCAAAUCAAAGCUGGACAAGUUUUUUUUUUUUUUUACACAGAUAUCACCAUGUUAGAAAAGUUGGACAAGUUUUGAAACCAUUCUGAACCUAUCAUUCCUGUCUUUCAAAUCCUUCCAAGGCAUCUUAUUAUUGAUUUGUUUCUAUAUUUUCCUCAUUAUUAAAGAGGUUGAGUAUCUUUUCUCUAGAGCUAGUUUGGGUUCUGAUUUUCUUCACUUUCGUGAUGGAGUCAUUUUAGAAUUGAAGGGCAUCAUAGCAACUGAGGCAGUGUUGACAUCAUCAAUGUUUUAGGAUUACAGGUAACCAUAUUUCCCAGUUUGCUUGGGACAAGGCCAGUUUGUACCUCUUGUCCUAGCAUUUUUUUUUUUUUUUUUUUUUUUGAGACAGAGUCUCGCUCUGUCACCCAGAUUGGAGUGCAGUGGCGUGAUCUCAGCUCACUGCAAUCUCCACCUCCUGGGUUCAAGUGAUUCUCCUGCCUCAGCCUCCUGAGUAGCUGGUAUUACAGGCACGCACCACCAUGCCUGGCAAAUUUUUGUAUUUUUAGUAGACACGGGGUUUCGCCAUGUUGGCCAGUCUGGUAUCAAACUCCUGACCUCAAGUGACGCCCUGGCUCGGCCUCCCACAGUGAUGGGAUUACAGGCGUGAGCCACCGUGCCUGGCCCUAGUAUAUUUUUUAAUAGCAUUGCAUUCAAUCUCAAAAGUGUGUGAGUUUUGAUGAAAAAUUAUAUGGUGGUCAUUUAUUAUCUGAAAUACACAUCAAAAUACCACUAUUGCCAUUUUGCUCUGGUAUCUUCAUCAGUGGGUGCAGGAUUGUCAUGAAGGCGGGGGGAGGUUGUUCUGCUUCCUUCUCUGUUGCAUCCCCAGAGCCCAGAACAGUGCCCAGCACCCAGUAAGUGCUUAAUGAAUAUGAAUGCAUCUGCACAUAAAUUCGUUUCUUGGGGCUUGGCACAUUGCCACUUGAACAAAUGGAUUCUAUUAACAAGGAGUAUGGAGCAAUGAUUUUGGGGUACACAACUCAUGGCGCCUGCCAAAACAUGCGCUUUAGAUUUUGAUAGAUAUCGUCAAGUUGUUCUCCGCAGGGGUUGAGCCAGUUUACACUCCCACCAGCAAUAUGUGAGAGCAUCUGUUUCUCUAACCUUCACCCACAUGGUGUUAUCAAAAUUUUUAUCUGUGCCAAUCUGGUAUUUUAAAUUUGCAUUUUCUUUAUUAUGGAAAGAUAGAGCAUACUUUCAUAUGUUUAAAAGCCAUUUGAAAUUUCUAAGAACUGUCUGUUCAUAUCCUCUGCCCAUUUUUUUUUUUUCAGUGAAUUACUGGUCUUUUUCUUAUCAAUCCAUAGGAAUACAAAUAGUUGUUCCAAGCUUUUCAUGCCUUUUGAGUUUGUUUCUGGUGUUGUUACUAAGCAGAAUUUAAAACAUGUAUUUAUAUUUAGCUUCUUUCGUUUUAUUGCAUCUAUAUUUUGCAUCAUGCUUAGAAAGGCUUUCCCAGAUUGUAAAAUAAUUCUCCCAUAUUUUCUUGUCUUACUUUCAAGUUUUCAUUUUUUUCACAUGUAAGUCUUGAUCUAUCUGAAAUUUAUUUUGGUGUAAGAUUUGAGAUAUGAAUAAAAUCUAAUAUUGUUU